GCCUUGGUAGCUUAAUGGGAAAGCGUCUGACAUGUAUUCAGAAGACGUGGGUUCGAUACCCCCUAGGUU
rnacentral:tRNA from 1 species